GGUCAAAGUAAUAAGAGUCUAUGGUGAAUGCCUAGGAGCUUUAAGGCGAAGAAGGUCGUGGUAAGCUGCGAAAAGCUUGGGGGGAGAAGCAAACAUUUAUUGAUCCCAAGAUUACCGAAUGGAGUAAUCCAGCUAGCAAGAUGCUAGCUAUCUAUUAUCUAAAUAAUAGAGGCGAUACCAGGGGAAGUGAACCAUCUAAGUACCCUGAGGAAAAGAAAUCAAAGAGAUUCCCUUAGUAGUGGCGAGCGAAAAGG
rnacentral:rRNA from 1 species